UUAAAAUUUUUUUCAAAUUUUAUUCUACUAUUAUUUCAUUUCCAUUGUAAUAAGAAUAAAUUAUUAAGAAAGAAAAAAAAGAAAAAAGAAAUUGAUCUGAGAAUCGAUUUACCUUAAGAUCUGCAAAAUUAGAAAUUAUAUGUUUAAUAUUAAGGGCCCACAAUCCACUUGCCACCAUACUAUUUCCAUCUCUAUCCAUUCUCAUUAGAUAGAAUGAAUUCUGAAUUAAGAUAUGUGUUCGCAGCUAUUCUCAGAGGUAUAAGUGUCUUUCUACAUUCACAAUUCACAAGAAGCUAUACUCUUUUGAAGAACUACAUUAUGCACGGUCGUAUCCAGUUCUGGGACCUUUACCAUCUCUCGAUGGUCUUCAAAACUGUAGACCAUGGAUUAAAGAGAAUAUAAUUUGGCCCCAGGAUAGCCAGCUUCGAUCCUGAUCAACUUGACUAUUGGCCAACUACUUACUAUUUGAGUGGCUGCUUCAUUUUGAGCACUGGAUACAUAAAAGUGUGAAGUUCGUCGUUUCUACGUCUACGUCAUGGUGAACGACAGUUUCAAGGAAUUCAAAUAUCUUCUUCGCUUCUCUUCAUCCUCUUUACGGCUACUCUCUGAGAUUCGCGCGAGACUUCUGCCAUUAAGUUGUAUCUCUUUAGUUCUUUUUCUCGUUGAAGAUCAUCGUCGGCUUUCGAAAGAAUGAAAGAUAAAAAAAGGACAAAAUAAAUCGUAGCCAUGUUGGUUAAAGGAAUCGUCUCGAGGUUCACUAAGUUACUUUCUUCUUUGUCUUUCAUUAACUUCCAUUCUUCUUCUUAGAAUCUGGAGCAUGUUUCUCUGGCUUUGGACUAUUCAUAGAAAGAUUUCUAGAGAUAAAAAGUACAUUUAGAAUCAAAAUUUUGAUUUUUUUUUAUCUUUCAUUGUAAUAAUGAAGUAUCUUUCUUUAAACUGAUUUACAAAUGUUUAACAAUUUUUCUCAUUUUUAUCAUUUAAUUUCUAUUGAUGAAAGAAAAACAUUAAAAAAAAUUUGAUUCGAAUUGUCUAGAUCUAAUCUAUGAAAGAAAUCUGAUGCACCACUGAAAAAAAUGUUGAGUCAAAGAUUGAAGCGAAAAAAUGAAAAUUACAAAGGAAUUAUCGAAAAAAAUUAAGUUAUGAUUGUUUAAAAUGCAUUGAAAGAUAA